UCCCCUUUUAACCCCUCUCGAGACCGAAAACCCUAACCCUACCUUCUUCCUCCCUCGCGCCGCCAUCUCUCCUGCUUCCCUUCUUUUUCUCUGUGAAGCCCGAGCACCACCGUCGGCCUCGCCAUGGCACCGCCGCUCCGGGCACCCCCCUCCCUGUCCGAGCACACCAUCAGGUCCGCCUCGCUCUCCUCGUUAACCCGGUGGAAGGAAUCGAGCCCGGGUGCCCUCAGAUGCCGCCAAAAUCGCCGAUUCCCCGCUCCGUCUGCCGAACUCCGGCGACGAUUCCGGCCACCGUGGGCCUCCUCCGACCAUCCUGAGAACACCGGCAUGCUCCUGGUCCCGCCGUCGACGAAGCUCCGGCGACCCCCAGCACCUGGCGCCACCUCCCCUUGGUUCGCGCAGACGAGGCGACCCCGACGCGGCCACCCGCGCUUCCUGGGGGCCUCUGCAUCGUCCGCGCUCUUCGUCGCCGUGCCCGCGGUGAUCACCGCCCGCCCGCGCACGGCAUCCCCCUCGUCGAACACCUUCCGUGCGGCACACACAAGGUCCGCCACGUCAGCGUCCAGCGUGGCGCCCGGCCCACCUGUCAGCGUCCGCAGCUAGCCCAACCUCGAUCCAGCCAACAUCCAUGUCAGCAGCGCCCGGGCCCACGCGUCAGUGUCCCAGGCUGUCUUCCCCUUCGCAUUUGCUUCUUCCCGGAUAGGAUCACGAAGUGGUGUUGUGAGAUGCGACAAGUUCUCCGGAUGUUCCUCGGCAAGCUUUAACAGGCAAGCAAUUUCCCCUAUACUUCUGCCCCUGCAGAAGUCGCUCACCUAUUUUAUUUUGCCUUCUCCCUCAUGCUAUCCUUAAGUUGCGUUCUUGUCACGUGUCCCUUCCACCUGUUACCUCAAGCAGCCUAUAUUGCCUCCACCAACCACCUACAGCUUUUGUUUGGUUAUCGGGUCUGCCUUGCGAGUCGUAGUGCAUGCUAGUGCUGUUUAUAUCUCAUUACCGUUAUCGUUAUCUUAUCGUGUUAUCUG